AUAACUGGGGGAUAGCCCAGAGAAAUCUGGAGUUAAUAACCGCAUAACAAUCAGUGAUUCGCAUGUUUUAUGAUUUAAAACUCCGGUGGAUAAGAUGGGCAUGCGUAGCAUUAGUAGUUGGUAAGGUAACGGCUUACCAAGACAAUGAUGCUUAGGGGGGUCUGAGAGGAUAGGUCCCCCACACUGGUACUGAGACACGGACCAGACUCCUACGGGAGGCAGCAGUGAGGAAUAUUGGUCAAUGGGCGCAAGCCUGAACCAGCCAUGUCGCGUGCAGGAUGACGGCCCUAUGGGUUGUAAACUGCUUUUUUUACAGGAAUAAUUGUUGCUACGUGUAGUGAUUUUGAAUGUACUGUAUGAAUAAGGAUCGGCUAACUCCGUG
rnacentral:rRNA from 1 species